GGUCGUGAAGACGCGACCUAGGUGCAGAGGGGCACGAAGACCCCGUGCAGCUUCACUCCAGUGUGUCUUUU
rnacentral:rRNA from 1 species